GGCGGCGUAGCUCAGCUGGCUAGAGCAUACGGUUCAUACCCGUAGUGUCAAGAGUUCGAAUCUCUUCGCCGCCACCA
rnacentral:tRNA from 1 species